AUUGAACGCUGGCGGCAGGCCUAACACAUGCAAGUCGAACGAGUGGCGGACGGGUGAGUAAUGUCUGGGAAACUGCCUGAUGGAGGGGGAUAACUACUGGAAACGGUAGCUAAUACCGCAUACCAUCGGAUGUGCCCAGAUGGGAUUAGCUAGUAGGUGGGGUAAAGGCUCCCCUAGGCGACGAUCCCUAGCUGGUCUGAGAGGAUGACCAUCCAUACGGGAACUUAGACACGGUCCAGACGCCUACGGGAGUCAGCAGUGGGAAAUAUUGCACAAUUGGCGCAAGCCUGAUGCAGCCAUGCCGCGUGUAUGAAGAAGGCCUUCGGGUUGUAAAGUACUUUCAGCGGGGAGGCGUUACCCGCAGAAGAAGCACCGGCUAACUCCGUGCCAGCAGCCGCGGUAAUUC
rnacentral:rRNA from 1 species